CCUACGGGGGGCAGCAGUGAGGAAUAUUGGUCAAUGGCCGGAAGGCUGAACCAGCCAUGCCGCGUGAAGGUCAGUGCCCUAUGGGCGUUAAACUUCUUUUGUGCGGGAGCAAUAAUGGUCACGUGUGGCCAGACGAGAGUACCGUACGAAUAAGCAUCGGCUAACUCCGUGCCAGCAGCCGCGGUAAUACGGGGGAUGCAAGCGUUAUCCGGAAUUAUUGGGUUUAAAGGGUGCGUAGGCUGUGAGGUAAGUCAGCGGUGAAAUGCCCCCGCUCAACGGGGUGAAGUGCCAUUGAUACUGCCUGGCUGGAAUGCGGAUGCCGUGGGAGGAAUGUGUGGUGUAGCGGUGAAAUGCAUAGAUAUCACACAGAACACCGAUUGCGAAGGCAUCUCACGAAUCCGCGAUUGACGCUGAUGCACGAAAGCGUGGGUAUCAAACAGGAUUAGAUACCCGGGUAGUC
rnacentral:rRNA from 1 species